CCGAGUACGGGUCCCUGGGGCCCAGACCUCCCACCCUUGUCGAUUGUACCGUGUUGCUUCGGCGGGCCCGCCAGCUCUGGCCGCCGGGGGGUUCGCAAGCGCUGCCCCCGGGCCCGUGCCCGCCGGAGACCUUCCUUAAAAUGCUACUGCGGUCAGGAAUGCUGUCUGAGUGGUGAGAAAUUGAUCAAAA
rnacentral:misc_RNA from 1 species